GUUAACAAAUCAAAGAGCAUUUCCAGUAGCACCAAACGAGAAGCCGUAUGCCCUGAUAAUUCUGGUUUAUGCUAUGAUGCACAGUGACACGUACCUCUGUUCAGCAAGGUGCAUUCCAGCUAUUCAUGUAACAGCUGGAAACUUCUGUACCUGUGGCAAAGAUGCUCUGCAGUGGAGGGUUUAUUCCUGGCCUCUGGCCUGCCUGACCAUGGUCUCUUUAGUUCUUGCCGGUUCCCUAGUUCCUUUCUGGUUCCAGUAGUGAGAGGAAUAAACACUUAAAACUCCAAAUCCAAUACCCUCUCAGUGUCAAUACCCUCCCUAUCUUUAAAAGAAGAAAAAAAAUACUAAAUCAUCUCUGUUUAAAGAA